rnacentral:rRNA from 1 species
UACGUAGGGUGCAAGCGUUGUCCGGAAUUAUUGGGCGUAAAGAGCUCGUAGGCGGCUUGUCACGUCGACUGUGAAAACCCGGGGCUCAACUCCGGGCCUGCAGUCGAUACGGGCUGGCUUGAGUGCGGUAGGGGAGACUGGAAUUCCUGGUGUAGCGGUGAAAUGCGCAGAUAUCAGGAGGAACACCGGUGGCGAAGGCGGGUCUCUGGGCCGAUACUGACACUGAGGAGCGAAAGCGUGGGGAGCGAACAGG